rnacentral:rRNA from 1 species
UACGGAGGGGGCUAGCGUUGUUCGGAAUUACUGGGCGUAAAGCGUGCGCAGGCGGCUCCUUAAGUCAGAUGUGAAAGCCCCGGGCUUAACCUGGGAACUGCGUUUGAAACUGGGGAGCUAGAGUGUAGAAGAGGGGGGUGGAAUUCCAGGUGUAGCAGUGAAAUGCGUAGAGAUCUGGAGGAACACCGAUGGCGAAGGCAGCCCCCUGGGCUAACACUGACGCUCAUGCACGAAAGCGUGGGGAGCAAACAGG